rnacentral:rRNA from 1 species
AGCCAAGGGUAAAAGCGCAAACGGUGGAUGCCUAGGCAAUUGGAAGCGAAGAAGGACGUGUAAGUCUGCGAAAAGCAACGGGGAGUUGGCAAAAGAGCGUUGAUCCGUUGAUGUCCGAAUGGGGGAACCCAUCCACUGUAAGGUGGAUAUUCUAAUCUUUGAUUGGAAAGCGAACGCAGGGAACUGAAACAUCUAAGUACCUGUAGGAAAAGAAAUCAACCGAGAUUCUCUUAGUAGCGGCGAGCGAACGGGGAUUAGCCUUGUAUGAUUUAUAAUUGAUGUUAGUGGAAUAAGUUGGGAAGCUUAACGAUAGAGGGUGAUAGUCCCGUACACGAAAGUAUUGAUUAGGAACUAAGCAUACGAAUAAGUAGGUCGGAACACGAGAAAUUUUGACUGAAGAUGGGGGGCCCAUCCUCCAAGGCUAAAUAUGACCAAUUGACCGAUAGUGAACCAGUACCGUGAGGGAAAGGCGAAAAGAACCCCUUUAAGGGGAGUGAAAUAGAACCUGAAACCGUUUGCGUACAAGCAGUCGGAGCAUUUUUAAGAAAUGUGACGGCGUACCUUUUGUAUAAUGGGUCAGCGAGUUAUUUUCAGUGGCAAGGUUAAGCGAAUAGUGAAGCCGAAGGGAAACCGAGUCUUAAUAGGGCGUCUAAGUCGCUGGGAAUAGACCCGAAACUGUAGCGAUCUAUCCAUGUCCAGGGUGAAGGUUGGGUAACACCACCUGGAGGCCCGAACCCGGUAAUGUUGCAAAAUUAUGGGAUGAGAUGUGGAUAGGAGUGAAAGGCUAAACAAGCACAGAGAUAGCUGGUUCUCCCCGAAAUCUAUUUAGGUAGAGCCUUAUAAGUAACUCAUCGGGGUAAAGCACUGUAUCGGCUAGGGGGAUAUUCGUAUCUUACUGAACCGAUGCAAACUCAGAAUACGAUGAAGUUUAAUUAUAGGAGACACACGGUGGGUGCUAAGGUCCAUCGUGGAGAGGGAAAAAGCCCAGACCGCCAGCUAAGGUCCCCAAUUGUUUGCUAAGUGGAAAACGAAGUGUGAAGGCAGAGACAUCCAGGAGGUUGGCUUAGAAGCAGCCACCCUUUAAAGAAAGCGUAAUAGCUCACUGGUCGAGUCGGCAUGCGCGGAAGAUUCAACGGGGCUAAAGCAAACAACCGAAGCUGCGGCAGUACUUUAAGUACUGGGUAGGGGAGCGUUCUGUAAGCCGAUGAAGGUGUGUUGAGAAGCAUGCUGGAGGUAUCAGAAGUGCGAAUGCUGACAUGAGUAACGAUAAAUAAGUGAGAUUCUUAUUGGCCGGAAGUCUAAGGUUUCCUACGCAAUGUUGAUCAACGUAGGGUUAGUCGGCCCCUAAGGAGUAGCCGAAGGGCGAAUCCGAUGGGAAACGGGUUAAUAUUCCCGUACUUAUUGUGUUAGUGAUGUUGUGACGGAGAAAGCUAGAUCAUCCUGGUGAAUGGUUAUCCAGGUGAAAGUAUGUAGUUUGGCAUAGUAGGCAAAUCCGCUAUGUUAUAGACGAGAUACGAGACGAAGUAAAACUUAGGUUUUACGAAGUGAUUGAUGCUCGGCUUCCAGGAAAAGCAGCUAAACUUAUAGCACAAGAAACCGUACUGUAAACCGACACAGGUAGACAGGUAGAGAAUACUAAGGCGAUGAGAUAACUCAGGUGAAGGAACUAGGCAAAAUGACACCGUAACUUCGGGAGAAGGUGUGCCCACAUUAUGUGAUGAGAUUUACUCUCUAAGCAGAAGUGGGUUGCAAAUACCAGGUGGCUGCGACUGUUUAUUAAAAACACAGCACUCUGCGAACUCGUAAGAGGAAGUAUAGGGUGUGACGCCUGCCCGGUGCUGGAAGGUUAAUUGAAGGGGUUAACGUAAGUGAAGCUCUGGAUCGAAGCCCCAGUAAACGGCGGCCGUAACUAUAACGGUCCUAAGGUAGCGAAAUUCCUUGUCGGGUAAGUUCCGACCUGCACGAAUGGCGUAACGAUGGCCACACUGUCUCCACCUGAGACUCAGUGAAAUUGAAAUCGCAGUGAAGAUGCUGCGUACCCGCGGUUAGACGGAAAGACCCCGUGAACCUUUACUACAGCUUUGCACUGGACUUUGACCCUAUCUGUGUAGGAUAGGUGGGAGGCUUAGAAGUAUAGGCGCUAGCUUAUAUGGAGCCAACCUUGAAAUACCACCCUGGUAUGGUUGAAGUUCUAACUUAGGUAGAAAUACCAAGGACAGUGUAUGGUGGGUAGUUUGACUGGGGCGGUCUCCUCCUAAAGAGUAACGGAGGAGUACGAAGGUGCACUCGGUAUGGUCGGAAAUCAUACCAAGAGUAUAAAGGCAUAAGUGCGCUUGACUGCGAGAGUGACGGCUCGAGCAGGUACGAAAGUAGGUCUUAGUGAUCCGGUGGUUCUGUAUGGAAGGGCCAUCGCUCAACGGAUAAAAGGUACUCCGGGGAUAACAGGCUGAUACCGCCCAAGAGUUCAUAUCGACGGCGGUGUUUGGCACCUCGAUGUCGGCUCAUCACAUCCUGGGGCUGAAGCAGGUCCCAAGGGUAUGGCUGUUCGCCAUUUAAAGUGGUACGCGAGCUGGGUUUAGAACGUCGUGAGACAGUUCGGUCCCUAUCUGCCGUGGGCGUCGGAUGUUUGAGAGGAUCUGCUCCUAGUACGAGAGGACCGGAGUGGACGUACCUCUGGUGUUUGGGUUGUGUCGCCAGAUGCAUUGCCCAGUAGCUAUGUACGGAAGGGAUAACCGCUGAAAGCAUCUAAGCGGGAAGCCUCCCUCAAGAUAAGACAUCCCGGGAAUUUAUUCCCUUAAGAAACGUUCGAGACUAGGACGUUGAUAGGCUGGGUGUGUAAGUGCAGCAAUGUAUGAAGCUAACCAGUACUAAUGAUUCGAGUGAAUUGGUUAU